UUUUAUGUAGUUUAACCAAAACAUUUUAUUUUCAUUAAAAAAAUGACUUCGUAGGUCUAUAAACU
rnacentral:tRNA from 1 species